UCGAUCAAGAAAGGGGAGCCAAGGGGGAAAACCCUAACAUCCUAAAAUCAUUCAAAUUGAAAGGGGAAUCAAAGAUUUAUCGAAUGCAUGAGCCAGGAACUUUGAUUAUCUAAGUGAAUUUGAUAUCAAGGGUAAGGAAAGAAGAAGGAACAUGUCUAUCCAAUGCACAAGAAAUGCAAGACCUCGGUAAAUCUCAUGCUUGAUUGCGGUGCACUCGGACCGAACACACAAUGACGACCUUUUGCACGCUUCCGGUUCAUGUUGUUGAUUAUGAAUGGGUCAAAGAUUUCGCUUUUUCAUAUGAUGUUAAAUUGUGUCUAGUAUGGUAGUAAGUAGUUAGGAUUUCUAAAUCUUUUGGUAUAGUUUGUACAAAAUUGUUCAUGGUGAACCUUAUGGUCAUAACUUUGUGGUUUUGAAAAGUGUCGUAGAACUUAAUUAAAA